GCUCACCAAACCUACGAUGGAUAGGGGUUCUGAGAGGAAGGUCCCCCACACUGGUACUGAGACACGGUCCAGACUCCUACGGGAGGCAGCAGUGAGGAAUAUUGGUCAAUGGGCGCGAGCCUGAACCAGCCACGUCGCGUGAAGGAUGACGGCCUUAUGGGUUGUAAACUUCUUUUACAGGGGAGUAAAGUGAGUCACGUGUGAUUUUUUGCAUGUACCCUGUGAAUAAGCAUCGGCUAACUCCGUGCCAGCAGCCGCGGUAAUACGGAGGAUGCGAGCGUUAUCCGGAUUUAUUGGGUUUAAAGGGUGCGUAGGCGGGAUAUUAAGUCAGCGGUGAAAGUUUUCGGCUCAACCUUAAAAUUGCCGUUGAAACUGUGGUUCUUGAGUGCAGAAGAGGUAGGCGGAAUUCGUUGUGUAGCGGUGAAAUGCGUAGAUAUAACGAAGAACACCAAUUGCGUAGGCAGCUUACCAUACUGCAACUGACGCUGAGGCACGAAAGUGUGGGUAUCAAACAGGAUUAGAUACCCUGGUAGUCCACACAGUAAACGAUGAAUACUAGCUGUUUGCGAUACACUGCAAGUGGCCGAGCGAAAGC
rnacentral:rRNA from 1 species